rnacentral:rRNA from 1 species
UACGGAGGAUGCAAGCGUUAUCCAGAAUGAUUGGGCGUAAAGCGUCCGCAGGUGGCUAUGUAAGUCUGCUGUUAAAGAGUCUAGCUCAACUAGAUACAAGCAGUGGAAACUACAAGGCUAGAGUACGUUCGGGGCAGAGGGAAUUCCUGGUGUAGCGGUGAAAUGCGUAGAGAUCAGGAAGAACACCGGUGGCGAAGGCGCUCUGCUAGGCCGUAACUGACACUGAGGGACGAAAGCUAGGGGAGCGAAUGGG